UACGUAGGGUGCGAGCGUUGUCCGGAUUUAUUGGGCGUCAAAGAGCUCGUAGGCGGUUUGUCGCGUCGGCCGUGAAAUCUCCACGCUUAACGUGGAGCGUGCGGUCGAUACGGGCAGACUUGAGUUCGGUAGGGGAGACUGGAAUUCCUGGUGUAGCGGUGAAAUGCGCAGAUAUCAGGAGGAACACCGGUGGGCGAAGGCGGGGUCUCUGGGGCCGA
rnacentral:rRNA from 1 species